rnacentral:sRNA from 1 species
CGCUCUCCCAACUGAGCUAUCCCCGCUUA